AUUUCUUCAACAUAGAGUGAAUCUGCAUCUGGGUGCUUCUGAACUUUUUUGAUGAGGCCAACAGGUUCUAUUGACAAAGUUUUAUGUUGUGGUUUUAUUUGCCGAUAUGAAUGGGGUACUUGAAGAGUAUUAUAUUCUUCCCUUUUAUUUUUGGUGCUUUGCUCACAUACUUUGAUUCACAAAAAUCCAGAAUGUUGGAAAAGGUUGAUAUGGAAGAAUCAGCAAGUGAGAAAGAGGAGUCCG